rnacentral:lncRNA from 1 species
CCCGCGGCUGCUCCCGAGGUUGGGGAUGAUGAGGCCCUGGACGCCCCCGCACCUGCGUCCAGCCCAGUCCAGCCCAGCCUGUGGCCUCUCCUCCCCGGUGCCCGCCCCGCGAACCCCGAAGCCACAAGCCUUACAGUGCGGCACGGCGCUCCGGGAGCGCAUGGUUCUCGGCCACCGGCCCCGGCUCUCCUCCACCUCCUAGUCCCGCCCGCGGGCGCGGCACCCCAGGACUGCAACAGCGCGGCGGCUGGGGACUGACUGAGCCGGGAGCUCCUGGCUCGGCCAGUGAAGCUGCCCCACAGGGGCGGGGCGGCCUCCCCCGGCCCGGCCUCCCUCCAAUGGGAGGGCAGCCCGGAGCCCCGGCCCCGCCCUGCCGGGCUAGCUGUCACCGCGGACCGGCGCACGUGGGCUGGAGCUGCCCCUGCUGCCGGGCCCUGGAGGAGUGCCGGGGGGAGGAACUGGCCCCAGCGCUAGCCCAGCCCGCUUGGGGAAAGCGGGCCCGCCCCACUGCAAAAGCACGCAGCAGCCUGGGGCGAGCCUCUAAGUACAAAGUCCUUUCUGGAGUCUUCGGAAUCUCUAACAUCAGACUCUUCCGCUCGGCUCUCACUGCGACGCGGGAUCUCAUCACCUCUCUUUUGAGCUUUUAUAAUUAGCUGCUAACUGACCUGUCUUCAAUGUGUUUUCUCUCCCAUUCAUUCUUCACCCACGUUGCGUAAUCAACCUGACACGCUAUUAUGGUCGUGGACGCUGGUUGGUUCCAAACCCUUUUAGUGCUUCCCCCUUUGCCAAUGAAAUGAAGUACAAACUACUGAUCUAGGCAUUUGAGGGCCUUCGCUGCCUGACUGGAAGUAGAUACAUAAACCAUACAUAUGAUAAUUUGAAGCGUAGGGAGAGAACCCUAAACUGAGAGAAUCAGGAAAUGCUUCCCUGGGAGAUGGCAUAGAAAAUGAGCCUGGAGGCCUGCUGGUGCCAGCUAGCACUGGCUUCCAAGAGAUCCGAUUGUUAAGGGUUUUUUGUAAGCAUUUCGGCAAAUGCUACAAAUCGGGGCUUAAUUUAUUGUUGUGCUGAUCGACUAGACAUAAGAAAGCGCUGGAUGUUAAUCAUGUAGAUCACACUUAAAAGUGAGGCAUACACAUUCCAAGCCCCCCACCCCCACCUCAGUUGUUGUUAAUGAUUUACAGGCACACCCCAGGAUGAGCCUUGAAGGAAGAUAGAGAUUGUAAGAGGCAGAAAUAAAGUGAUAGUACAUUCU